UACGUAGGGUGCAAGCGUUGUCCGGAAUUAUUGGGCGUAAAGAGCUCGUAGGCGGUUUGUCGCGUCUGCUGUGAAAACUCGGGGCUUAACCCCGGGCCUGCAGUGGGUACGGGCAGACUAGAGUGCGGUAGGGGAGACUGGAAUUCCUGGUGUAGCGGUGAAAUGCGUAGAUAUCAGGAGGAACACCUGUGGUGUAGACGGCUUCUGGACCAUAGCUGACGCUGAGACACGAAAGCGUGGUAGCAACAGG
rnacentral:rRNA from 1 species